AUUGAACGCUGGCGGCAGGCCUAACACAUGCAAGUCGAGCGGAUGAAGGGAGCUUGCUCCCGGAUUCAGCGGCGGACGGGUGAGUAAUGCCUAGGAAUCUGCCUGGUAGUGGGGGACAACGUUUCGAAAGGAACGCUAAUACCGCAUACGUCCUACGGGAGAAAGCAGGGGGCCUUCGGGCCUUGCGCUAUCAGAUGAGCCUAGGUCGGAUUAGCUAGUUGGUGAGGUAAUGGCUCACCAAGGCGACGAUCCGUAACUGGUCUGAGAGGAUGAUCAGUCACACUGGAACUGAGACACGGUCCAGACUCCUACGGGAGGCAGCAGUGGGGAAUAUUGGACAACGGGCGAAAGCCUGAUCCAGCCAUGCCGCGUGUGUGAAGAAGGUCUUCGGAUUGUAAAGCACUUUAAGUUGGGAGGAAGGGCAGUAAGUUAAUACCUUGCUGUUUUGACGUUACCGACAGAAUAAGCACCGGCUAACUUCGUGCCAGCCGCCGCAGUAAAAC
rnacentral:rRNA from 1 species